UCUAGAACUCAAGAUAUGGGCUGAACACUGAACAAUGUCUGGGCUGUAGGACAGAUUUCGACUUCUCCAUUGUUGCUACCAUUUAAACUCGAAAAUGGCACUUUUAAAUCUUAGACUCUUCAUGAAAGUUUUAGGCUUAUGUCUUAGCUUUCCAUA
rfam:Populus trichocarpa scaffold_1_contig_162, whole genome shotgun sequence.